UUUUUAAUUAAAUUGAUUUAACUUGAGUAGUAGUAGUUAUGGUCUUGAAACUUAAAGAAUUUGGCGGUGUCUUAGUCUAUUUAGAGGAAUCUGUCCCGUAAUCGAUAAUCCACGUGGGACCUUACUUGAUUUAAUAGUAUGUAUACCGCCGUUUAUUGAAGAUCUUUUUAGAGUAUUUUCUAAAUAUUAUAUUGGAUGGAAUUUCAGGUCAAGGUGCAGUUUAUAAUUAAGAGGAGAUGGAUUACAAUAUGUAAAGUAUAUGGAUUGUAAAUUGGAAGAUUUAUAUUAAGGUGGAUUUAAUAGUAAUUAUUUGUAGAUUGUUAUUGUGAUUUUAGCUCUAAGGCGUGC
rnacentral:rRNA from 1 species